AUUGAACGCUGGCGGCAUGCCUUACACAUGCAAGUCGAACGGCAGCGGACCUUCGGGUGCCGGCGAGUGGCGAACGGGUGAGUAAUAUAUCGGAACGUACCUUUCAGUGGGGGAUAACGUAGCGAAAGUUACGCUAAUACCGCAUAUUCUGUGAGCAGGAAAGCAGGGGAUCGCAAGACCUUGCGCUGAUUGAGCGGCCGAUAUCAGAUUAGCUAGUUGGUGAGGUAAAGGCUCACCAAGGCGACGAUCUGUAGCGGGUCUGAGAGGAUGACCAGUCACACCGGAACUGAGACACGGUCCGGACUCCUACGGGAGGCAGCAGUGGGGAAUAUUGGACAAUGGGCGCAAGCCUGAUCCAGCCAUGCCGCGUGGGUGAAGAAGGCCUCGGUUGUAAG
rnacentral:rRNA from 1 species